rnacentral:rRNA from 1 species
AUUGAACGCUGGCGGCAGGCCUAACACAUGCAAGUCGAACGAGUGGCGGACGGGUGAGUAAUGUCUGGGAAACUGCCCGAUGGAGGGGGAUAACUACUGGAAACGGUAGCUAAUAUCGCAUACCAUCGGAUGUGCCACGAUGGGAUUAGCUCGUAGGUGGGGUAACGGCUCACCUAGGCGACGAUCCCUAGCUGGUCUGAGAGGAUGAGCAGCCAGACUGGAACUGAGACACGGUCCAGACUCCUACGGGAGGAAGCAGUGGGGAAUAUUGCACAAUGGGCGCAAGCCUGAUGCAGCCAGGCCGCGUGUAUGAAGAAGGCCUUCGGGUUGUAAAGUACUUUCAGCGGGGAGGCGUUACCCGCAGAAGAAGCACCGGCUAACUCCGUGCCAGCAGCCGCGGUAAUAC